GUGGAUAGCCGAUGCCGGUUCAUAUUUGUACUGCAGUUCAACCACUGAAAUACCUGCGCAUUUUGCGAUGUUAGCAUAAAACAUUUAAACGUGUAUUAUAAAAAAUAAUUAAAUAAUUUUGAAAAUACUAUAUAAAUAAUAUAAAUUAAGUGGAGACAGUAGUUACCAUGAUAAACAGCAUCAUCAACAAUGGGGUCGGUAAUUAAGGAAGUAAAAGCUCACGUCAUCUGCCAUACAGGCUGGGACGUAACAAUUAUUUGCUUUUAUACUGAUGCUAAGUCAUGGUAAUGACUUUUGUAUGUACUUCUCAAUAUCUCCAAUUUCAUAACUACCACAAAUAAUUAGGAUCGGGGUGAUCGUGGAGGCUUUAACGCGCCCGAUUAGCCCACUCGUGGGGUUGGAGCUUUUGAGGCAGCUGAGAAGGAUGGUAAAGGUGCUCCCCCCAGAACUGGAGCUGGUCGGGGGCCACUUCACCCUAAGUUGGUUCGUGGCGGGGCCUCGGGUUCGGCUGGAGGUCCUGGGCCUGUAUGAUAAAAACGGCGUAGGACCUGAGAAGAUCAGAAACGGGACUACUGCGGGAUAUUGAGGGGGAAUAAGUACCCCACCAGUGGUUCAGCGUUUGGAAAGAAGAAGAGGAAAGAAAAAGAUAAAAAAAUAAAACCAAUUUAAAUAAUAAUGAUGUAUCAGGCAACAAAAAAAAAUAGAUAUAUAGUCAAACGCUAAUUCCUACGUGUUACUUUUUUAUUCAUACCCCCUUUAGUAAUAAUUUAUAAUUAGGUUAAUUAGUCAUAAUUUAAUUAAAUUAAGUUUAUUCAUAUGUUA